AUACCCUAUUAUUUAAGAGCUAAAUAUUGUAAGUAUAUAAUAAUUACGAAAGCAAAAAAUUAUGGCGGUAUUUUAAGCUUUUCAGAGGAAUUUGCUCUUUAAUGGAUAAAACACCUAAAUCUUACUUAAAUUUGUUAAAUCAACUUGUAUACCACUAUUAAAACAAUUAUUAACUCUAAUUAUUAAUAUUUAAAACAUAAAUUAAUUUAAAUUAAGUCAAGGUGCAGUAAAAAUUUAAGAAUGAAGUGAAUUACAUUACUUUUAAGGGAAAUAAAAUUAAAUAAAGUUUAGGAUUUGAAAGUAAAAUUAAAAUAGAAUGUUAAUUUGAAUUAAGCUCUAAAAUAUGUACAUAUCGCCCGUC
rnacentral:rRNA from 1 species